GAUGAACGCUGGCGGCGUGCCUAAUACAUGCAAGUCGAGCGAACGGACGAGAAGCUUGCUUUUCUGAUGUUAGCGGCGGACGGGUGAGUAACACGCGGAUAACCUACCUAUAAGACUGGGAUAACUUCGGGAAACCGGAGCUAAUACCGGAUAAUAUUUUGAACCGCAUGGUUCAAAAGUGAAAGACGGUCUUGCUGUCACUUAUAGAUGGAUCCGCGCUGCAUUAGCUAGUUGGUAAGGUAACGGCUUACCAAGGCAACGAUGCAUAGCCGACCUGAGAGGGUGAUCGGCCACACUGGAACUGAGACACGGUCCAGACUCCUACGGGAGGCAGCAGUAGGGAAUCUUCCGCAAAGGGCGAAAGCCUGACGGAGCAACGCCGCGUGAGUGAUGAAGGUCUUCGGAUCGUAAAACUCUGUUAUUAGGGAAGAACAUAUGUGUAAGUAACUGUGCACAUCUUGACGGUACCUAAUCAGAAAGCCACGGCUAACUACGUG
rnacentral:rRNA from 1 species